GUCCAGGGAUGGGAAUCGAACCCACAGUGUUCUGCUUACCGGGCAGAUGCCAUGACCACUAGGCUACCCUGGA